GGAAACAGAGGCCUUGAACAGCUGGCCACUGCUGUGAUCAGCAAAAGAAAACCAGGUUCUCCAGCUAUCCGGGCACAGCGAUGUUCAGCAAAACGUCACACAACAGCAGCUCAGUUCUGGCAGAUCCCAACGGCACAGCACGGGACCCCCUGUCUGCAAUGAUCUCUGAAGUCCCCGUGCUGAGGCCUCCGUGCUGUGUGCCAAUUACUUCUCCCAUGGGCUAACAAUCUGCUGCCAGAGCUGUGGAGUGUGACAAUGGUGUUUGUGUCCAAUCUAUCAAACGCCAUUAUCACACUAAAUAGCUACUGGUAGAUGAGACUUCAAGUCAGAGAAGCAUGUAAGUUAUAGCGAUAUGUUUACCCGCUGUACUGAGGAAUAAAUGAGCUUUUUUUCCGUGUCAGGAUGACUCUUUUGCAAGUGAACCCACAGUCAUACGUGGGAAAAGCACACCCUGCCAUGCGCCUCCCCAGACUCCCACUGCAGAGCACUCAAGAGUCACCUAAAGGAGUCACAGCACCACCGUUAGGAGUGCUGAUUUCAUAGGAGUCAGUGCAGCCGUGAUAGCCUCUGCAAAACAAGGCUGGCCUGAGAUUUUCUUUUUCCUGUUGGAUUGGCCGUAGCUGUGGAGCACUGAAGCCAAUCACCUGGUGGAGUCAAAGCCUGGUUCUUAUUCUUGCACCAAAGUAAAGCAGAUAUGUUUCAAACAAUAACUGCCUGAGAUGAUUGUGAUUUUCAAACAAAACAUCCUUCAGAAUUCUGAUAAGAAGCUUCUACAUCUAACAGGGAACGUGAUUUAUUCAGGUUUCAGCUCCAGUCCCUUCUAUUUUACAAUGCUAUGUAUGAUCUGAGUUUGGGGAGGUCACAAUUUCCUCGUGGAAAUUCCUCUGAAAACUCUUGUGAAGAACAGGAGUCAGUGGUGGGAGCUCCCAAACAGGUUAUGAAGGCCUGGCAACCACGCUGCACUGGAAAGCCUAAAUCCCACUGAAUAAUCCAAGACUCAGGCUCACAGAAUACUGCUUUCUGAUCAUUUGCAAGGGGAGCUGUAAACUUUAUUCAGCAUGCUCGUAGUUCACCAGCACUUCUAGUGCUAAGUAAUUAGGCAUACAGAAUGGAAAGGACACUUACUAUGACUGUACUUCACUAUUGUGCAGAGUGUUGCUGGAAUAUAAGUAUGUUCUUAUACUACACUGUUUCUUCUUGCAACUAAGUCUAUUACACGCAACAUCUUUAAUAGGUUAUUUAAUUUUAUUCCCUAAACGUUGUUUUCUUCCAUGAGUUACAGUUGUGGAGAAGCCACUACCAAUGAAUACUGCUGGAAACUGAUGGAAAACUACACUAUUGUGUAGUAAAAUUCAGUUCUGGUCUUGGUAUCUUCAAAAGAAGGUUCUGGAAUAAUCCUGGUGAUAACGUUACUAUGGAGGCGAUCACGAUGCAGAUGCUGUCAGUUUUGGGUCUUCCUGGUGUCAUUUCACCUUGCAGAUCCACAGGUCCUGCAUUCCAGAAGCAUGGAUUGUUUCGGCCAUGAUCACAGCCAUUGCUGACGUGCUGUUUUCCCUUCCAAAUGUGCUGUCUCAGAUAAACAUCAGGCACAAAGAAGGAGAAGGAGCGGGGUCAGUGGUAGAGAAGGUAGAGGAGAGGUUGAGGUGAGAUGGUGGUCAUAGGAAGGACAGAUGAUGACACGAAGCAUGAGGAGUGGGGUGCUCAAAGGCAGAAGAGGAAGAUGAGGGUUCCGACUCAAGCUGGUUCAGUAAAAUAAAGGAGGCUUUAUUGUCUUUACUCAGGGUCAGAUCAGACUGAGAGGUAGGAUCAAGAGGGACAGGUAAGCAUACCAUAUAGACAACCAACAAAUGCAACCUGGCCCAGCACCAGCCAUACUGGAGCCAAAGCAACUGCUCCAAAACCACUUUGGCAGUGUUACACACAGAAACGUGCAGUUCCUGCCAACACGGUGCAGCAGUUCAGGCUGUGGCACUGCACAGAUCCUGUUCAGGUGCAUAAAGUUUAGAUCAGUAUUACAGCUGUGCUGAUUUCGGGUGUUACUUGCUGCUGGAGGCAGCACAGCAGCAUUCACAUGCCAAUCCAUUUGCAAGAAUUAUGCUGAUUAUUAGUUGGCUAACAUUACAAAGGCCCAGAAGAACAAUAGGUUUGGAGCACUGCAGAGCCACCCCUAGUAGGAACUAUGCUAUUUGGUACCUACAGCAAAUAACACUUACCCAGUUCUGCCAGCAUCUGAAAGAAAAGCAUGGUUCUUUUGAGUUAUUCCUAAGUGGAAAUGCAGGCGGAAGAUGUAAAAAGAAAACUUGUAAAACAGACCUCAUUAGGAAAGAGCUGCCAUCACCAGCUAAUGUGACAUACCUGCACCCUUAGGCUCUUGUGGACAGGCAAGGAAGGGAAAGCUUCCUUUAUCUGGGGAGCCUUGCUACCAUUCAGUCCUGAAGCUUGUUUCCUGGAUGCCCUUAAUGACUGAUCUUGGUGGCCAGUCUUAAAUGCUGGAUUGCUGCUAAAGGGCACUUUGUUGGAAGAAAAGACUUAAUGAUUUCACGUCUGCAUUCACUGAUUUGAUCACUUUUUCGCUGGCACAUGCAUUUGUUAGCCCACUGAGCACCAACACGAACACGGUACAUUGUUCUGUCACUGCUACAAAACAGCCUCAGCCAUCCAUUAGCGCAACGAGAACACAGCGGCAACAGAAAGACUCCCAGAGCCUGUGUUCUGCUGCCCGAGAUUCACUGGGUCACAGUAAUUUCACACCCACAAAAUUUUAUGGCAGAAUCACGAUGAAACGGGCAGAGCUGCAGAUAGCUAUGGCUUAUUUCUAAAACAGGCCUUUGCAGGCAAUUACCUGCUAGCUGAAGCAAGAUUGGUGCAUGUGAGCUUGGGAAGGUCGAGACAGCAGAACCUCCUUCUCUUUUCUCUGGCUCUGAUAAAGGAAUGUGAAAGUGACCUUGUCUGCACGACCCUCUGGGUAAUGUUCACAGCAGCAACUUGUCUUCUCAACUUUUGACUGAGAGAGAAAUGAAGAAAAUCCCUUCCCACCCUCAUUAUGCCUGCAGAGGCCAGGGAGCUCGUGCCAGCCUUGCUUGCCCUUCUCCUGAUUACUGGCAUUGCAAUUUUUCUUAUUUGAAGAACAUCUUAUGUUCUUUCUCUCCUCCCACUCAGUGAACCUCAUCUGCUACUUGCCUAAGAACAGCAUCCAGAAAGAGCAGCAGAUUAAGCCUGUCAUUCUGGACUAGCUCUACAAUUGGCAGUGACACCACGGCUUAAUGCAAAAUAUCAGUCGCCACUGCUGGUACUUCACUGGUGGAAUGGCAGUACAGGCUCCCAAGGUUCCACUUCUAAUAUGAUGAAGAAAAUCCAUUCAAAGUGUUCAAACACUGAUGUGUGCAAACAGUUUCAAACCCUCCCCUAGUACUCUGUGGCAGGAUAGUAGUAUAGAUUAACCCUCUCUCCCUGUUGUUGCUACUGCGCUCUUGAAACUCCAAAUAAAAACCUAUUAUUGAGCUUUUCAUUGCAGAGCAACGUGACUUUUACAACACCCACACAAGUGCUGGAUACACUGAACUUUCUCUAAGAGGAAAAAAAAAAUGAAGACAUGAUGUAGAUGUGUUCCUACAGUUCACUGUUGGAUUAUGUGAGAUUGAGCUGCGGGAGUUAUUCUGAAAAGCUCCCCCGCUACAAAUUCUAUGCAAUUUUCUAUUACUAUAUGGUUUGUAAGGGAUGGAGUGGGAAACAUGCUGUAUUUUCUAAUGCUGUCUUCCAUUCAGUAUCUGCAUCAAGUGGGUAUAUAUUCAAGGCACGACAUUUGAAAUGAAACAGCUGCCUUCCAAAAUUGCAUCCCCUGGAGACCUGGGGCCAGGCAAUUUGUGAAGCUGGUGUGUGCACUACGGCUGAGGUUACGUAUCAAAGAGCUGCAAUGAUACAGUCAUCCAAGAAAUUACUAGACACAAAUCCUGCAAUUGAAACUUGCUGCCUUUGAACACUUCUGACCAUUGGGAAGGAGUUUUCAGAAGUCUCAGGGUUCGAUUUCAAAAGGAACUGAGGCAGCCAAUUUCCACUGGGUGAUGAGGCACGAAGUGCAUCACACACCUGUAGCAAAAAGCUCAACCGACAAGCCUAGUAUUUUGCAGACACGGAUCUACACUCUGACAUCCAUUUGGUGUUACUGAAAACAUUUUCUUUGGAGCUUGGCUACUUUCAAUCUGCUUAAAACUGGGAAAGAUCAGGUUAAAUUAUCAGUUUAUCUAUAGGGACACAUAUCACAGAAUCACAGAAUGGCCUGGGAUGGAAGGGACCCCAAGGAUGAUGAAGCUCCAACCCCCUCGCACAGGCAGGGCCACCAACCUCCCCAUUCAAUACUAGACCAGGCUGCCCAGGGCCCCAUCCAACCUGGCCUUGAACACCUUGAGGGACAUACCUCUGUAGCCUCAAUGCCUACAUGACAUUCAUUUGAUCAACUAUUUUUUAAGAGGAGAUGUUCAGUAAAAGUUUUGUUGACUCUCCAUUCUUGCAUGCUUCAUCAAUGUUUGUACAACAAAAUCUAGAUUAUAAAGCAUUAGUGCUUCAGCAUAAACUGUAGUAGUGUCCUACGAAGAGCAUACGUUUUAAAACUGCAAUCAGGACACAGUUUUAUUUGACUUGCUUACCAAACAAUACUUUGGUUUCUUUAUGUAAAAGGAAAAAAGCAGAAUCUGGUUCAGAUUAAAAGACUGCAUGUGAAACAGCUAGCACUUUUUCCCAUUCAACUCAAUGAGCACUUAAACCUAAAGCCCAGUGAGAAUAUUGCUUACCCUACUGAUAGCUUCACUGCUUGUAAUUUUGCACACAUCCAGCUGAUGCAUAUUGGUAACACAGGUGCAAUAUGGUAAAACCAUAGUUGUACCAGGUCAGUCUUUCUCUCACCAUUCAGGUCAAUCAACAUGAAUAAACCACCUGUCACCCCCGUCUGAUUUCAUGGUCCAGAUCUUUGUACAGAGUUGAGAUUAGGUUCUCAGCUUUCAUUCCUUCUCAAACAAUUUUUUCAAAUGCUCUGUGAUACAGGAUACAUGGGCAUAUUUGUAUGUUCUGCAACAGCAGGAGUAAGGUGGGAAGAGUGCCUAAUUAUCAGUCUACAAAGGACAGCAAUUAUUAACAGCCAUUCUUUUCCCCCACAGAUCUGACAUGGGAAUAUGGAGACAGGAAGACAGCUAAUCUAUUAAGCACCAUUUCCCACCUAUUUCUGACAUGCACACUGGAGUUUGCUCAUUGUCAUUGUCAGACAACCUAAACUGUUCAUGCUGUGACCCAGAAAUGUCAGUAAGGGAUUGCUGAGAGGAACCAGCAUGAAGAAGAUACUCCUGACACAGACUUCCUACUCGCCAGACAAACAAGACAGACUGCAGCUGAACCACAGGUUCACAUGCACACACAAACAGAAGGGAAGAUGUUCUCCGGAGACUCGUGGUACAUUCAAUGGCCAAGACUCAAAAUAUACAGAUACCAGUGCAUGGAACAGUUGUAAGGUAAUCCAGGCAGGUGGCUGAGUUUAUCUUCAAAAUCUUGUUCUUGUGUUAAAUCUCCGGUAUCUACACCACAGAAUCAUCUCCUUUCUUCGUUGCUGGCAUCAGCAUUAGGAUGACUUCAUAACAAUAUCCCCAAAUGUUAUUCUCUUGUAAGAAUGUUGGUGCCUACCACUAUUACAUAUCCCCAAGAGGAGUUUCCACAUGAUGGACAGUGUUACUCAGUGCUCUGAAGACGUGAAGUCUCUAGGUUCUCUUGCUUUCUUGCACACUGUUUUCUUAACAGUUGGUGAGCUUGGUAGAGUUUUGCUUUUCAUGGAUGUUGGUUUCCUCUGUUUUUGAUGAGUGGAUCGGAGAGAUUUCAGACCCAGCAUCUCACAGUACUUAUUGCACUGGUGGAGGGCUCUGAACUGCUCAAUGAAGGAAAUCGAGCAGUUGCCUUUAAAACCUUUGUAUCUGUAGCAACAAAGAAAAAAAACAAAGCCAAGUUGGAUUUCAAGACUCAUUUUCAGCACCGGGGAGACAGAGUAUGACUGUUGACACAUAAGCAACUUGAAAAUACUAAGCAAGCCUCUUCCACUCAUAUAGCUUGGAGAGGCACUAACUCACAGAUAUUCAAACUGAGCCAUUACGAUGUGAAGAAAACUGGGUAACGAGCAGUGGCAGAAGAGGGGAAAAGGCUGAAAAGAUUUAGGUCUGCAGCUUGUGUUCUGGCUAUUCUUUAUCAUUUUAUUUAGUUGGCAAAAUAAUUAUCUGCUGGCUAACUUUUUCUCGGAAAUACACAAAUGAAAUCCAUUCUACACCAUUCUCUGUAAUCAGUGGUUUUGACUAUGAUGAGGAGACAAGAUUGCACAGGGAGGUGUCAACUGAACCAGAGGCUGUUUUCAUCCAAACUCAAACAUAACUUCUCUGCCAUGCUCUUCCCUCAGCCAGGCUUGACUACAAGACCUCAAUGAGCCAAGCCUCCCAGGGAAGAAGGAUGUUAGAGCAUUACUUGAGUCAGCAGCCUUGAUCAGCCUUCACAGUUCUCAAGCCCCCAUCACCCAUUGCUACCCCUCUCUUCUUUGGCAGGCUAGGACACCUGCAAGACAGAGCCCAUACGUCCCUUUUCUCCUUACCCUGUCACUGCUUGCUGUCCUUCAUUUCUGAUACCUGCUGUUUAAGCUGCAUCAGAUUUUCAAAGCAUGCAGCAGCUUUAUAAAAACCUACUUUUUAGAGGAGCAAUUUUUUAUCAGACUCCAGGUAACGCUUCUUGUCCGUUUUGGAAGCUGAGAGUCAUCAUCAAGCCUAGCUUGGCUCUGCAGCCUCCAGACUGCUCCAGCUCUUAUGGCAGACCAUAGUAAAACUAGAGAGGUGGAACCAAAGGUUUGCAUCUGAAAUUUCCCAGCUGUUUGCUGUUUGUUAGUCACUGCUUCCACACAUCCCUCCUUGUGUGCUUCCAGACUGCACCAUUUGUUCUGCACAGGCACAACGACUGCAGCUCUGUCAUAAUUUGGCAGGACUUGUAAGCUUAAUUCAAACCGUUUGUGCUGUUACAGCCUGUGGUACAUGUAACAGGGAGAAACAGCUUCUAAAUUCCACAGGCUGUAUUGCUCUCAUGUUUUCUGUUCAAUAACAGCAACCUACUGACUAUUCCAAGCCUUGAGAAAAAUUAAUCUGCAGUUCUGUACUCCUUGUUCUUGUAAUUCACUGACUAGAUGGCUGAUGAAUUGAAUGUGGACAGAAUUCCACCUUCCAAAUCUAGUGAAAACUAAAUCCUCCAUAAAACUGAAGGGUGAGCGCUGAAUUUAUUCUGAGGCUUAAACUCCCCAGUGUUGGGGAUUGCCAUGCUGGAUCAUUGCCAUGUUGGAUCAAGCCAAACCUAUCAGUAUCUUGAAGCCAGAUUUUCAGAUCCACAUCUGGAGAACAGCACUGGUGUUAAUCAACACAACACAGGUUACUGUGUUCCUGAUUCCUUCCCUUCUGUGUUUACUGCUCUUGGAUAAAGACGUGGGCACUCGUGCACAGCUGCUAAACCAGCUUGCUGCUUGCAUUUAAAAACCAGUCACUGCCUUGUACUGUUUUUGUUUACAUUUGCCAAAGAACAUACCAAAUAUUUUACUUAAGGGACAGAUUUCCUGACUCUGGUGCACCCCAGUGGCUGCAUUAAAAACACUUCCCAGGCUUUUCUGCUUUCAGUUAGGCUUUUCCUCCUAUUGACAGAAGCAGCACUGCAGCUGAUUCACUGCAUCGGAUAAACUGUACUUCCAGUUGUUUCGCUUUCCAGUUAUGGUUAAAACUGCCACAGAAGGGACAAAAGAACAGAAUUACUUCAAAGGAUGCUAAAUGUUGAAAACAUCAGUUUCUCCACUGCCGGUACGUGGAAGAGGGGAAAGAAAAAGAUACGUAAGUGCUGGUUUAGAAAUCAGAUUUGAAAGAAGAGCCUGGACCCAAAUAAACAAACAAACAAAUAAAUAAAAAGUAAUGAGUAAUGCUGAACAUAGGUAUGAAAUUUUAGUAUAUGCUGUUUAUUAUGCUUGGUUUACAAGAGAAACUGGGGGAAAAAUAAUGGCCACAAAGUACUGAUGAUAGCUGCCACGUUGGCUUUUGCAAAAUCAUCAGUACCAGUUUGUACCAUGGCAUUUAGGUUAUUUGUCAUCCUGAUUCUCAUGCAAGCACAGGGGCAGGAAAGGGGAUGAUUUUUUCCAGUUUCUUUUUUCCCCAGAUCACAAGCUCGAUGUUGGAGCGAAAUUAGGCUUGUAUUUAAUUUCCUUUCCAAGCAGAAACAAUAUGGAUGCUUUUACAUUCAUUAAGGAUCACAGAAUAUUUGUGUUUUGCGUGGAUGUAAUUGGUAUGGGCUUAGAGGACUGGAGACAGAGCACCUAACUGUCAUCAGUGAGUUUGUUACCACUGCAAAGAAUGGUUGAGGGAACUACAGGCAUUUGCAGAGGCAAUAACAACUAAAAUCAGCUUUGUGUCUUUUCUAACAAUACAGUUAAAAGUAUAGCUGGAUAAUAUAAUAAAUUCUAGUUCAUAGAAUUAUAUAAUAAUUGAACCAUAGAAUGGCUUGAAAGGACCUCAAAGAUCAUCCAGUUCCAACUCCCACACAUUGGGCAAUGAUGCCAUCCAAGAGUUAAGUAUGUUCUCCCAAACAUAUGGCAUAUAUGAUCUCCACGGGCAUGGAUUCACACUACCAAAGGUAGCAAUAACUUGUAAUUAUGCAUUCUCUGCACUUGUUUGUUUUCCACAUCCAAGUUUGCUUGGAUGAAGAAAAAAACAAAUGGCAGGCUAUUAUUGCAAAGCUGUUCUUUCCAGGAAAGGAGCAUGAAAGAAAAAUACAGGACCUGAAAUUACUUACUGUCUAGCAAUAUCUUUAGCUAAACAUCAAACAAAUUGAUAAUAAACAUUUUAAAGAUAUUGCUCAUUAAGGGAAUACAUAUUCCCUUAUGCAUGCCCAAGGUGAUCCUUAUGGCAGCUUGCACUGUAUAUUUUCUCACUUCACUUUCCUCUUCCUUAGUCCAAUAUGUGUUUUUAUAGGAGUAAUUGCUCAUAGUGAGCCAGAUGACAUCGAUGAAGGCCUUUCCAUACAUUUUCUGAUUCCAGAAAACACCGUUGCCCCAACAAAAUUCUUAUGAUCUUUGUUUUACAGCAGGAUGAUGCAACUUCAUUUCAUCUGCUAUUUCAAAUCAGUUAAUUUUGGAUCCACAGCUAAAAGAGUCAAACAAUGUAAGUUCUGAAAGGGUUUUCCCAACACAUUCUGUGGUCCGUUUUUAAGUAAUUUUAAACGAUGCAGUGAGGGGUUUUUACUGUACCAUUUCUUCUAUCAAUUUCUCAAGGGAAAACACGAAUUUAAAAGCACUUGUCACUGGCAGUUACCCAGAAAGCUGCGUCAGGUGCCAGGAAACAGAAUGGUGGCAAUACACAUGACAGAGCCAAUUGGCUGUGCAUGGGGAAGAAUGAUAUAUUGCCAUUAGAAGGAAUGUGCUUGCAGCAAUUGAUACUGGAAGAAGUAUGUUUUUCUAAUGAAAAAUGUUGUAGCCACUAUGAAUAAAGGCUUGAAUCAAU